AUACCACUUGUUGCCUCGGCGGAUCAGCCCGCUCCCGGUAAAACGGGACGGCCCGCCAGAGGACCCCUAAACUCUGUUUCUAUAUGUAACUUCUGAGUAAAACCAUAAAUAAAUCAAAACUUUCAACAACGGAUCUCUUGGUUCUGGCAUCGAUGAAGAACGCAGCAAAAUGCGAUAAGUAAUGUGAAUUGCAGAAUUCAGUGAAUCAUCGAAUCUUUGAACGCACAUUGCGCCCGCCAGUAUUCUGGCGGGCAUGCCUGUUCGAGCGUCAUUUCAACCCUCAAGCACAGCUUGGUGUUGGGACUCGCGUUAAUUCGCGUUCCUCAAAUUGAUUGGCGGUCACGUCGAGCUUCCAUAGCGUAGUAGUAAAACCCUCGUUACUGGUAAUCGUCGCGGCCACGCCGUUAAACCCCAACUUCUGAAUGUUGACCUCGGAUCAGGUAGGAAUACCCGCUGAACUUAAGCAUAUCAAA
rnacentral:rRNA from 2 species